rnacentral:lncRNA from 1 species
GGAGCCGACCCCUACACUGCAAUAGACUAAAGAUAGAAGAAAAUUUAAAUUCAGAUAGUUCAAAAGUUGACCAUAGUGAAGAGGAGUCGAUCCUAGUGAAGAGGAGUCGAUCCUGACAUGUUGGAGAAAUCCAGCAUGUAGGCGAGUCGAUUUGAAGAGGACUCGAGCCAGCUCUCUCAGAGAAGAUAGAGAUGUUGAUAGGAUCGGAUCUUUCCUUACUGAUCGUAGAUCGUAGAAGCAGCAGCAA